rnacentral:lncRNA from 1 species
AUUAUUAACCGUAUUUCUCAUUUGUUACAGGUCAUUCUCUACCGUAUACCUACCUUACUGAAGAGAGCUGUUAACAAUCACUUUCAGCAAUGAUACAACGUCCGUGCAGAUUUUACCUGUAUUCUAUUGGCUUCGUUUCCACUGUGGUCUAAAAAUCCCAAUGGUCUUCGUGUUACAAACAAAUUUAUAUGUACUAUUGCUAUUAUUGUCAUCCUAAUACACGACGAAUGCUACGCGAACUGCAGAAAAGAACUGAUCACUAGAACAUUUUUAUUAUUUACGUUUAACUUGUCUACUAUGUGAUAGUGCUUUGCUGCAAUUUCGUGCAUUCCUAGGAGAAUAAUUGAUCUGUAACCCGGAGUACUCGACUUUAGUAACUUUUGUUCGAUUUAUCUUAUAUCUUGAUAAGGCCUCGCGAGGAAAAAGAAAGAAUGCUUCUUUAUAUUCUAAGUUCGUUGACUUAUUGUUUGAUCUUCUCAACAUUUUUCCUUUUUCCUCCGAGUCCCGCAAUUCACGCGUUAAUUAUAGUUUUUUAAGAACAAGUAUUUGUGUUGUCGAUGUUGUUGUUGUUUUUUUUUGAAUAUUGACUAACAAAUACUAAACAAUUUAAAGCAUGACUUUUAAUUUUUACGGUACAACCCGCGAGCGUGCAUGACGGUCAAUUUUUAACUGUUAAUUCUUGAUUUUAUAUUUUUAAGUUAAAUUAGACGCUGCUACAUUGACAUGCCUAUUUUUAAAUGUAUUUUUUUUUAAUUAUAAAUAUCAUGUUAAUUAUUGUAAAGUUAAUGAUUGAAAUGAAAUGUUUACUUCAACAAUAUAAGAAAUGCCCGAACCAGAGUUUAUCGAUAUAGAGAUCAAUAAAUUUAAAAUUGUCGUUUCGCCUUGCAUCAUAAAACUUGAUUUUAGGUUGUAUCCAACUAGUGCUUAAAUUCGAGUUUUGGUUCUUGCAUGGCAAUACCCGGGUGGAUUGCAUACUAGUUUUUUAUACGAUGAAAAAUUUUGAUUAUGCGGUCUGUUAAUUUCAAUUUCUUAUUAGCAAAAUUUUAAUAUAUUGUCAUUUUAUAGUAUUCAAUAAACGUUCUCUCAAUCUCA